rnacentral:rRNA from 1 species
UGGGGAAUUUUGGACAAUGGGGGAAACCCUGAUCCAGCCAUCCCGCGUGUGCGAUGAAGGCCUUCGGGUUGUAAAGCACUUUUGGCAGGAAAGAAACGUCAUGGGUUAAUACCCCGUGAAACUGACGGUACCUGCAGAAUAAGCACCGGCUAACUACGUGCCAGCAGCCGCGGUAAUACGUAGGGUGCAAGCGUUAAUCGGAAUUACUGGGCGUAAAGCGUGCGCAGGCGGUUCGGAAAGAAAGAUGUGAAAUCCCAGAGCUCAACUUUGGAACUGCAUUUUUAACUGCCGGGCUAGAGUGUGUCAGAGGGAGGUGGAAUUCCGCGUGUAGCAGUGAAAUGCGUAGAUAUGCGGAGGAACACCGAGGGCGAAGGCAGCCUCCUGGGAUAACACUGACGCUCAUGCACGAAAGCGUGGGGAGCAAACAGG